rnacentral:rRNA from 1 species
UCUGAAUCUGCGUACGGCUCCGCAUACCAGUUGUAAACCAUAGCAAGCCAACCUUGGGAAGACCCGAUCAAAAGGGAUGACCCUUGGUUGAAUAAGGAUACCCAUGGUAAUUCUGAGGCUAAUACAAGUACAUACCGACUUGGUCAACCGGGAAACUGGAAGGCUGGGGGUCGUGUGAAGCUUAACUGCAACACCGACCUAGGAAACGAUGCACAAUCAGACCACCACACAAACGGUCUCGUUCUGAGGCAAGUACCUUCGGGGAAAGCCAAUGGGCUUGACUGGGUGGCUCUUGCUUUGUGCUUCUGACCUAUCAACUCGAUGGCAGCGUAAGGGACAUGCUAUGGU